rnacentral:rRNA from 1 species
CCUACGAGUGGCAGCAGUGGGGAAUAUUGGGCAAUGGGCGCAAGCCUGACCCAGCAACGCCGCGUGCAGGAAGAAGGCUUUCGGGUUGUAAACUUCUUUUCUGAGGGACGACGAAAGUGACGGUACCUCAGGAAUAAGCCACGGCUAACUACGUGCCAGCAGCCGCGGUAAUACGUAGGUGGCAAGCGGUAUCCGGAUUUAUUGGGUGUAAAGGGCGUGUAGGCGGGAAAGCAAGUCAGAUGUGAAAACUCAGGGCUCAACCCUGAGCCUGCAUUUGAAACUGUUUUUCUUGAGUGCUGGAGAGGCAAUCGGAAGUCCGUGUGUAGCGGGGAAAUGCGUAGAUAUACGGAGGAACACCAGUGGCGAAGGCGGAUUGCUGGACAGUAACUGACGCGGAGGCGCGAAAGCGUGGGGAGCAAACAGGAUUAGAUACCCUAGUAGUC